UCCCCUAGUAACGGCGAGUGAAGAGGGAAGAGCCCAGCACCGAAUCCCCCGGCCGUGUGGUCGGUGGGACCUGUGGUGUUUGGGAGUGUCUCUGGGGCGGUGUACUGAUUGUCCGAGUCCUCCUGAUUGGGGCUUGACCCAUAGCGGGUGUAAGGCCUCUACAGCAUCGGUCACCGUCUCUCUGUCGCUCCCUGGAGUCGGGUUGUUUGAGAAUGCAGCCCAAAGUGGGUGGUAAACUCCAUCUAAGGCUAAAUACUGGCACGAGUCUGAUAGCGAACAAGUACGGUGACGGAAAGUUGAAAAGCACUUUGAAGAGAGAGUUGGACAGUACGUGAAACCGUUUACAGGUAAACGGAUGGGACCGCAAUGUCGACGGCGGGGAUUCAUGUUGCCUGAUCUGGCCUGUUGGCUUUGGGAUGACCGCAAGGCAUGCCCUGGCUUUCUUAUGGUCUGGAUAACGGCGGCUGCACUUCCCUGUCGGAGAGCGCCACGACCGCUUGCUGAGCUGGCUGAAGGCGGGUGACACGGUAACUCCACCGACCCUGGCUGUUGGAGGAGAACUUAUAGGUCACUUAUUGCUGAUACCAUAUCGGGUGAGCGAGGAACUCGGGCCGUACGCUUUGCUUCUGGCACCGGAAUGCGACAUUGGCGUUCGACUAGUGGGGACUGCUUGCAGUGCCUGCUGACUGCGUCAGCCGGGGAAGUCGCCAAGGAGUGCAUGGCGUACCGAAGGGUCAGUGGCGAUUGAUCGGCACCCUAUCCGACCCGUCUUGAAACACGGACCAAGGAGUCUAACAUGUGCGCGAGUCAAAGGGUAGUACGAAACCCCAGGGCGAAAUGAAAGUAAAACGUUGAGGUGUGAUCGCGGGCUGCAUAGCCUGUGCGCAACACCGACCCGUCUCGUGUCCCUUGCUUGUGUGGCUGAGGCGGAGUUAGAGCGUACACGUUGGUACCCGAAAGAUGGUGAACUAUGCCUGAGUAGGUUGAAGCCAG
rnacentral:rRNA from 1 species